rnacentral:rRNA from 1 species
GAUGAACGCUGGCGGCGUGCCUAAUACAUGCAAGUCGAGCGAACAGAUGAGGAGCUUGCUCCUCUGACGUUAGCGGCGGACGGGUGAGUAACACGUGGAUAACCUACCUAUAAGACUGGGAUAACUUCGGGAAACCGGAGCUAAUACCGGAUAAUAUAUUGAACCGCAUGGUUCAAUAGUGAAAGACGGUUUUGCUGCCACUUAUAGAUGGAUCCGCGCCGCAUUAGCUAGUUGGUAAGAUAACGGCUUACCAAGGCAACGAUGCGUAGCCGACCUGAGAGGGCGAUAGACCACACUGGAACUGAGACACGGUCCAGACUCCUACGGGAGGCAGCAGUAGGAAAUCUUCCGCAAUGAGCGAAAGCCUGACGGAGCAACGCCGCGUGAGUGAUGAAAGUCUUCGGAUCGUAAAACUCUGUUAUUAGGGAAGAACAAAUGUGUAAGUAACUAUGCACGUCUUGACGGUACCUAAUCAGAAAGCCACGGCUAACUACGUG